GGGUAGGGGCGCAGCUUACACAUGCAGUCGAGCGGAACGAUACCAGCUUGCUGGUAGGCGUCGAGCGGCGGACGGGUGAGUAAUACUUAGGAAUCUACCUAGUAGUGGGGGAUAGCUCGGGGAAACUCGAAUUAAUACCGCAUACGACCUACGGGAGAAAGGGGGCAGUUUACUGCUCUCGCUAUUAGAUGAGCCUAAGUCGGAUUAGCUAGAUGGUGGGGUAAAGGCCUACCAUGGCGACGAUCUGUAGCUGGUCUGAGAGGAUGAUCAGCCACACCGGGACUGAGACACGGCCCGGACUCCUACGGGAGGCAGCAGUGGGGAAUAUUGGACAAUGGGGGAAACCCUGAUCCAGCCAUGCCGCGUGUGUGAAGAAGGCCUUUUGGUUGUAAAGCACUUUAAGCAGUGAAGAAGACUCCUCGGUUAAUACCCGUGGACGAUGACAUUAGCUGCAGAAUAAGCACCGGCUAACUCUGUGCCAGCAGCCGCGGUAAUACAGAGGGUGCAAGCGUUAAUCGGAAUUACUGGGCGUAAAGCGAGCGUAGGUGGCUUGAUAAGUCAGAUGUGAAAUCCCCGGGCUUAACCUGGGAACUGCAUCUGAAACUGUUAGGCUAGAGUAGGUGAGAGGAAGGUAGAAUUCCAGGUGUAGCGGUGAAAUGCGUAGAGAUCUGGAGGAAUACCGAUGGCGAAGGCAGCCUUCUGGCAUCAUACUGACACUGAGGCUCGAAAGCGUGGGUAGCAAACAGGAUUAGAUACCCUGGUAGUCCACGCCGUAAACGAUGUCUACUAGUCGUUGGGUCCCUUGAGGACUUAGUGACGCAGUUAACGCAAUAAGUAGACCGCCUGGGGAGUACGGCCGCAAGGUUAAAACUCAAAUGAAUUGACGGGGGCCCGCACAAGCGGUGGAGCAUGUGGUUUAAUUCGAUGCAACGCGAAGAACCUUACCUGGUCUUGACAUAUCUAGAUCCUGCAGAGAUGCGGGAGUGCCUUCGGGAAUUAGAAUACAGGUGCUGCAUGGCU
rnacentral:rRNA from 1 species